GACGAACGCUGGCGGCGUGCUUAACACAUGCAAGUCGAGCGGUAAGGCCCUUUCGGGGGGUACACGAGCGGCGAACGGGUGAGUAACACGUGGGUGACCUGCCCUCAGCUCUGGGAUAAGCCUGGGAAACUGGGUCUAAUACCGGAUAUGACUCCAUGACGCAUGUUGUGGGGUGGAAAGCCUUGUGCGGCUGAGGAUGGGCCCGCGGCCUAUCAGCUUGUUGGUGGGGUGAUGGCCUACCAAGGCGACGAC
rnacentral:rRNA from 1 species